UUGAACAUACUCUUUAACCAUUCAUUUUUAGUUAAAUAUUUUUAAGUGAAUUAGUAGGAUCUGUGCCAUCAUCACAUUUCUUUUUAGUUAAAUUGGUAAAGGGGUCGCCACCAUAGAACACAGUGGAGGGGAGAGGUAAAAAAAAAAAACUGUCAAAAUACACCUACACAAUAUACAGUACAUGUGUUUAAACAAUAAUCUUAUGCAAAUCAUAUGCAUUUUAAUCACCCCUUAUCUAGAAUAGUGAUGGGUGACAUGCUCUCACUCCUGAAAAUACAGCAUCCCACCCUGCAGCUAUGCUGAGUCAAAUAUUUCAGUCACAAAGAUAAAACAGCAUUGUAUACCACACAACUGCACCAUGGUCUGUCAUUUACAAGGAUUCACUAUAUGAUAGACUAAAAAAAAUGAGAGAAAAAAAAAAAAAAAAAAACUUAAUAUCAUCAAUGAGUAUCAUUCUCUGUGAUUUUUUUUUUUUUUUUAAGAUAAAGACAGACCACAAUGUCAGUUAACCGGCAAGCAGCACAGCAAGGUUUAACCAAUGUAACUAAAAGAAAGUCUGUGGUCAGAACCCUUACAAUGCACCUCAAUGCAAACAUCAUCUGUUAAGUAUAGCAGUCAAGUACAGCAACAACUCUGAACCUCAACAUUUAAUUUGCUUUAAAAGGUCACAAAAGUGUUAAGGAACAAACACAAUUCUCUUCACCAAUGCAUUUAAACAAGUUAUUAACACUUCAUGAAUUUUAAAAGACAGGAAAAAAAAAAAAAAUACUCCUAAAAUAAUCAUAUCUCUGUAUGUUAACAGAAAGCUCUGAAAGUGUGUACUAACCGACCUGACCUGUGAUCUAAACUGCACCCCAAAAUCUUCUUUCUUCUUUUAGGUACACCUAUAACUGUGUUAAAUCUACCACAGGUCCUUCUUCAUGGUAUCAAGAGGCACCAUAUGUAGUAAAGGUUUUCAAGUGUAAGGAUGCACAAGAAUGGAAAAGGGAUGUUGCAGUUUCCUGCAGAGGGCAGCAUGAGACCACAUUCUGCCUUAUCUGCCUUGGUGGUAUCCUGCACCAUCAGCUCCACUGAAGUGGACUUCAGCUCCAUCAGCUCCACCCUGGUGGGCUCCAGCUCCGCCGAAUCUGCUCCGGCUUCCAGGUCUGCCUGCUCUGCCUUGGCUCUCUGCUCCGCCUUGGCUCUCUGCUCUGCCGGUUCUGUCUCAGUCCCCUGUUCCUCUUCUUCCUCAUGGACCUGGCCCUCCAUCCCUCCCCCUGUUCUGCCUCCGCUCCACCUCCCUCAUAGACCCUGGUCUGUUCAUAUUAAGGAGCAUCUAGAAGCCACUCCUUGGGGGGCUCUGUCACGAACUCCAUUCUGUACCUUGCCAUUCACUAAGGACUCCAUUUCCAAUAAUCCUUUGCCCAGACUCAUCAGCACUCAUUAUCAGUUCACAGCUGCCUCAUAUUAGUAGGACUAAAAGAAUAGCACACACACUCUGUCUUCGCUGGUGAUGAAAUGUUUGUAUGUUAUCCUAGUUUCCUGUGAGUUCCUUGUUUUCCUAGUCUUGCCUUAGUGUCAUGGUCGUGGACCAUUUCCUUGACUCUGAUUGCUUGCUAUAUACCUUUAUCUUCCCCUGUUCCACUCUUUUGCCAUUGCUUUGGAUGUGAUUUUUUUUUUUUUUUUUUUUUUUUUUUUUUUUGCUGAUGUUUGACCAUGCCUGUUUUGACCAUGCUCUUCUAAUAAAGCCUGCAAUUGGAUCCCAACUCCAUUGUCGCCUCCCUCAUUACAGUCAGUUAAUUAGUUUGUUUAGUUCCUGUCAGCCUUGGUUUGAGUUUCCUGCUUGUUAUCAUGGUUCAGCUGUUAUUGAGUUCAGCUGUGUCUCAUUAAUUUACCUUUUGUUUCAUAUUUAAGUCCUUCCUUUUCCUGAGUUCUGGGUCCUGUCUUGCUUAUGUUUGUGGUUUGUCUCUUGUCUAUUCUGUUUACCAGUGUGUGUUGGACAUUGUGUUAAAGGGUCAUGAAACUCUAAAACACUUUUUUUUUUUGUAAGUUAACAUAUAUGUACAGGUUGCACAUCAGUGAAAACAACAAUAGCACUCAUUAUGUCUAGACCCACACUUGGUAACAAUAUUCAUUCUUGUUUUUUUUUUUUUUUUUUACAGAAUAUUAUGUAAUACCAAAAAUUUCCAGUAUUAUUUUUCAUUACAAAUAUAGAAGGGAACAAUACAACAAAAUUAAUCUCAAUCAGUUAAGCAUAAGCCUUUAGAUCAAAUAGUUUUUCAGAUCAUAAAUUCUGUCAGGUGUGUUCAAACUUUUGACAGGUAGUGUAAAUGUUUAUUAGCAUCAGAUGAAGAUUUGUUGACUGUUAUAGUUGCGUGUGCAGUGGUUGAGUUUGAUUAAAAGCAAACUGUAAAUUCUGGUUUAUGAUGUUUUAUAUACCCUUUUAUGAGAUGUUGGCAUCCACAAAUAGAGGUGAAUAAUGAUGACAAUAUUUGAAUCAUUUUGACACCUGAUUUAAUGUGUAUUUCUUUUGUACAACCCUGUUUGUUUUAUUGAUGACAUUAUUUGAUUAGACAGCAGUAGAGAACCAGUUAGCAUGCAUCAGUAAUUCAUUUUAGUUGGUUCGGACAGACUUUUAAAUGGAAUAUGAGUUCAGUUUUAUUAUUUUGUGACACAUUUAGAUUUAUUUGAUCAUCUACAUUUACAUGUAAUCUCUGAAACCUUUCUGGCUGGAAUAGAACAGAUCAUUUCUGUAAUAUUAGAGUAGUCUGUGGCCACGAAAUAUAUUGUGAUAAACUGCAGCAGUUUGAUGGAUAUUUAAUCCAGACGAGUCUAGUGUGAGAACAUGACGUUAUAUUGAAUUACCCACAUCCUCAGUGGGCAAGAUGCAAUUAAGCUAUGUAAAAAGAGAGAGCAUGUGUGGUCUGUAGAGGAAGGUCAAGGGGGUGAGUGGUGUAUCAUUUCUAAUCACUUCAAUGGUGACACCAUUUCAGAAAAUCGUAGCUCCAAUUAGAACUGACAAAUCAGCCAUUAUAUUAUAACAGCAGCCAUUACUGUUGUUGUUUUUAUGAUUUAAAGCAGUUAGUGUCUCGUAUAAGUUCCAAGGAUAAAGUUCCUCUCAUGUAUGCGCUCAGGAUAGAAUGUCUUCAAGUUCUGUUGUUCAUUCAGGAUGCAGAGUAUAAACCCUAUUCAAAAAUAGAAUGAUGUUUUGUCUUUUUGUGGAACAGAUAAUAAGUUUUUUUUUUUUUUUUUGUGGGGAACAGAAAUAGUGCUUCAAGGUCAUUGUGUCCUUUUUGCUCACAAUUUUCUUCUAUCACACUGAAGUUUUCAGGAUAAUUAUGUAGUGUGUAAAACAGAGCAUUUCUCUCACAUCAGCAAGCAUUUAAAGUCAGCUUUUCAUUUGAGAGAUUUUGCAUCACCUAAAGCACAAAAAGCUGUGAUAUGGAUGAAAACAUAAAACCCAGAGUUCAUUAAAUGCUUCCAUUCUUAGUACCACAAACAGACACAGUAAUAUUUCCAGACAUAUAUAUUGUGUAUAGAAUGUUGCAUAUUUAAAUUCACAACUGCUCUCACAAAAGCCAAACGAGACAUCUCAUCUGUAUUUUUUAUAACUCAGAAAGUUAAACCAGGUUUUCAAAGGAGGCCCAUGUGAUGAGCACCUGCCAAAUGAGUUUCUCCCAUCACCUGCAGGUUGUUUCUCUCACACUUGUUUAUAUUCAGUGCUGUAGGCUUUGUACGGAGUCAUAAACCUGCACUUCUCUCUGCUGCCGAGAUCAUUGGCAGUAGCAGAUGGGCCGAUGUUUAUAGCUUCAUAAAAAACAUGUCUAUCGAGCACCGUCUCUCCUGGUGCAGUCACAGAGAUGUGCGCCUCAUGAUCUCAUGUCUCUCAUAUAGUACAGCUAAUGUUUUUUAAGCAGAGAAUGAAAGUGAGAUGAAGACAUAUANACACUGAACAAAAUUAUAAAUGCAACACUUUUGUUUUUGCCCCCAUUUUUCAUGAGCUGAACUCAAAGAUCUAAGACUUUUUCUUUGUACACAAAAGGCCUAUUUCUCUCAAAUAUUGUUCACAAAUCUGUCCAAAUCUGUGUUAGUGAGCACUUCUCCUUUGCCUCACAGGUGUGGCAUAUCAAGAUGCUGAUAAGACAACAGGAUUAUUGCACAGGUGUGCCUUAGGCUGGCCUCAAUAAAAGGCCACUCUAAAAUGUGCUGUUUUACUGUAAUGGGGGGGGGGGGUCCGAAAACCAGUCAGUAUCUGGUGUGAUCACCAUUUGCCACACGCAGUGCAACACAUCUCCUUCACAUAAAGUUGAUCAGGUUGUUGAUUGUGGCCUGUGGAAUGUUGGUCCACUCCUCUUCAAUGGCUGUGCAAAGUUGCUGGAUAUUGGCAGGAACUGGAACACGCUGUCAUAUACGCUGAUCCAGAGCAUCCCAAACAUGCUCAAUUGGUAAUAUGUCCGGUGAGUAUGCUGGCCAUGCAAGAACUGGGAUGUUUUCAGCUUCCAGGAAUUGUGUACAGAUCCUUGCAACAUGGGGCCAUGAAUUAUCAUGCUACAACAUGAGGUGAUGGUCGUGGAUGAAUGGCACAACAGUGGGCCUCAGAUUCUCGUCACGGUAUCUCUGUGCAUUCAAAAUGCCAUCAAUAAAAUGCACCUGUGUUCGUUGUCCAUAACAUAUGCCUGCCCAUACCAUAACCCCACUGCCACCAUGGGCCACUCGAUCCACAACGUUGACAUCAGCAAACCACUCACCCACAUGACGCCAUACAUGCUAUCUGCUAUCUGCCCUGUACAGUGAAAACGUCUCAGGUUACGCAUGUAACCAUGGUUCCCUGAGAAUAGGGAACGAGACGCUGCGUCCUCUAGAGGGCGCUAUGGGAACGCUGUCAGCGUUGCCAGUGCCUGAAGCAUGAAUGAAAAAACGACAAUGAACUUGACAUUGGCAGGCGGAAGCCUAUGACGUAAGCUAAUGAGCGACUGCGGAUAUAAAAGGGCACUUGUAGAACGCAUCACCCUCUUUUUU
rnacentral:lncRNA from 12 species